AGUCGUGAGGAAGGUGUUAAGGUUAAUAAGCUUAGCAAUUGACGUUAGCGACAGAAGAAGCACCGGCUAACUCCGUGCCAGCAGCCGCGGUAAUACGGAGGGUGCGAGCGUUAAUCGGAAUUACUGGGCGUAAAGGGCACGCAGGCGGUUAAUUAAGUUGGAUGUGAAAUCCCCGGGCUUAACCUGGGAAUGGCAUUCAAGACUGGUUAGCUAGAGUCUUGUAGAGGGGGGUAGAAUUCCAUGUGUAGCGGUGAAAUGCGUAGAGAUGUGGAGGAAUACCGGUGGCGAAGGCGGCCCCCUGGACAAAGACUGACGCUCAUGUGCGAAAGCGUGGGGAGCAAACAGGAUUAGAUACCCUGGUAGUCCACGCUGUAAACGAUGUCGAUUUGGAGGUUGUGGUCAAGAACUGUGGCCUCCGGAGCUAACGCGUUAAAUCGACCGCCUGGGGAGUACGGCCGCAAGGUUAAAACUCAAAUGAAUUGACGGGGGCCCGCACAAGCGGUGGAGCAUGUGGUUUAAUUCGAUGCAACGCGAAGAACCUUACCUACUCUUGACAUCCAGAGAAGCUUUUAGAGAUAGAGGCGUGCCUUCGGGAACUUUGAGACAGGUGCUGCAUGGCUGUCGUCAGCUCGUGUUGUGAAAUGUUGGGUUAAGUCCCGCAACGAGCGCAACCCUUAUCCUUUGUUGCCAGCGAUACGGUCGGGAACUCAAAGGAGACUGCCGGUGAUAAACCGGAGGAAGGUGGCGAUGACGUCAAGUCAUCAUG
rnacentral:rRNA from 1 species